rnacentral:tRNA from 1 species
UAACUGAGAGAAGUGGCGAAAAAAUAAAAUGUUUAUUGCAGGAAUACUUUUAAAAAUUUUAGGUUUAA